rnacentral:lncRNA from 1 species
CAGUAUGUGAGCAUCAUUGCAAAGUUGGCUUCAGAAGCAUCCUUCUGAUCUGAAGUCAAACACAGGUAUGCUCAUAGUCUCAGUUCCCUUUUAUAGGACAAAGGGACAUAAGCUGAUUUACAUUUUUUUCAUGCAUUUCCUCUCACUUGGCUUCAUUUUUGUUUGACUCUGUGAAUUCAAAUGCUUUUCCACUUAGUCUUUUUCUUUGGGAAUUAAUUGGCUCUCUUCUUUCCAUUGGAGGCUAUAAUUAUUCACACUAACAGACAUCUUUUCUGUCUGCUUAUUGGAAAAGGUGAAAGAGAGGAAAACAGAAAUUUCAAAACUCUGUAUCACGUGUUGAUGAGAGUUUGUAAGCUUUCAGUUCUGUUCUCAUACUCAGCCUGGUUUGACCAGGCUUGCUGGCAGAACAGCUCGCAGCAUUCUCAGCCUGUAAGACCUCCCCAUCCUCAUCAUCCUGUGCAGCC